GCCACAGCUGUGUCCAAUAAGAAGACAAAUGCUACAAAACAGUGGGUUAUGUGGUUGAGGAUAGUUGGAGUUUGUUUGUUUUGCUGUGAAGGAGAAGGAGUUGGUGCUGUGAGAAGCUGCACGUGAGAAAUCACCGAGAAGAAUGGGAAUGUGCCACAGCAUGGCUGCAGCCACGGCUUCCACAUAUUAUUGUAAGGAGAGAGCUGUUGUGGGACUGGAGUCAGAGUCUUGCGAUGCUCUUCCACAGCUCCUCUCAUUCUCCUCACCACAGUGUCAAACAAGGGCUCAGUGUCAGCUGAAAGAGGAUUUGCCUCAGACGGAUCUUGUGAGAGAUUGAACAGCAGUGGAGGGUCAUGAUGGAUUACCCCAUCCCCGAAACAUGGACAAAUUCCUCUUCUGAAACAGGCCCCAGAGGCUUCUGGCUGAAAUACUGGAGUGGCAUAAUGAGCUUUCCAUACAGUGCCACCUGUCACAGGAGAAGCACAUUUGAGCAGCUUAAUGUCAUUAGGAGCUGGGGGGUGGUCCCUGAAAGGCUGGUUCAUGUUUAAAUGAUCUGAUUUGUUGUUCCAAGAGGAGGCUUAUGGCAUGGUUAUUGCAUACAGGGAAAAGGUGUUGUGGAAGCUGGCAGGGAUUCAAGUGGUUUUUGUGGUUCACAGGUACACCUUGGCUUGGGUACUGUGUGCAGCAUAUGGAUGGUUAGCCCAACAGCUUCAGUACAGAUGGAGUCUGCCACUUUCUUGUUCCCCUUUAAAACUUUUCAUGCCUUUUGGAGGUGGGAAAAUGGAGACUGUAGUCCCCAGUUUCUGGGUGUAUCUAUUGAUAGGUUGUUCUUCUGGCUCUGUACAUCUGAGGGAAGAAGUACAUUUAGGCAGAAACUGAAGCUUAUUUCUCUGCUCAUGUUCCAGCACACUUCCAAAAAGGGUGGUAAGUGCAGGCCUCUAAAUUCUGAAGUCUAGUUUUUAAAUUAACAUGAAGAAGGCAAAUAGCUCGCAGCUUCAGAGCUUGUACUUCAUCAAGCUCUUCUACUGACCCUGGGAUAAGCACAGGUUUGUAACUUGUGGUGAAAAAGUGGUAAAUUACUAGGACUACAGCUGAACGUGGUCCUAGUGCAUUACUAGGACUUACAUUACAUUACAUCAGGAUAUUUUAUUUCUCCUUCCCUUCUCCUUUUUCUCCUAUUCCUUACCUCACAUUUAGAAAGCACUACACUGAACUCAGAGGCAAGGAUGUACCCAGCAAGAAGACAGAAAUUAGACACUAUGUCUGAAAAAGGAGACAAGAAGAAAGGGGACAUUCACCAGUUGGAGUCACUUCUGUGCUCAAAGCAUUAAAGAGCUGACAACUGCA